UACGUAGGGGGCUAGCGUUGUCCGGAAUCAUUGGGCGUAAAGCGCGUGUAGGCGGUUCGGUAAGUCCGCUGUGAAAGUCGGGGGCUCAACCCUCGGAUGCCGGUGGAUACUGUCGGACUAGAGUACGGAAGAGGCGAGUGGAAUUCCUGGUGUAGCGGUGAAAUGCGCAGAUAUCAGGAGGAACACCGAUUGCGAGGGCAGCUCGCUGGGACGUUACUGACGCUGAGACGCGAAAGCGUGGGGAGCAAACAGG
rnacentral:rRNA from 1 species